CCUACGGGUGACAGCAGUGGGGGAUAUUGCACAAUGGGGGGAACCCUGAUGCAGCGACGCCGCGUGGGUGAAGAAGCGCCUCGGCGUGUAAAGCCCUGUCAGCAGGGAAGAAAAUGACGGUACCUGAGGAAGAAGCCCCGGCUAACUACGUGCCAGCAGCCGCGGUAAUACGUAGGGGGCAAGCGUUAUCCGGAUUUACUGGGUGUAAAGGGGGCGCAGACGGCGGUGCAAGCCAGGAGUGAAAGGCGGGGGCCCAACCCCGGGACUGCUCUGGAAACUGCGUGGCUGGAGUGCAGGAGAGGCAAGCGGAAUUCCUGGUGUAGCGGUGAAAUGCGUAGAUAUCAGGAGGAACACCGGUGGCGAAGGCGGCCUACUGGACUGUAACUGACGUUGAGGCUCGAAAGCGUGGGGAGCAAACAGGAUUAGAUACCCCUGUAGUC
rnacentral:rRNA from 1 species